rnacentral:rRNA from 1 species
GAAAGCCCAGGCGGCGGGGGAUGGGGUCGCGGCCCAUUAGGUAGUAGGCGGGGUAGAGGCCCACCUAGCCGACGAUGGGUAGCCGGACUGAGAGGUCGACCGGCCACAUUGGGACUGAGAUACGGCCCAGACUCCUACGGGAGGCAGCAGUGGGGAAUUUUGCGCAAUGGGGGAAACCCUGACGCAGCAACGCCGCGUGCGGGACGAAGGCCCUCGGGCUGUAAACCGCUUUCAGCAGGGAAGACAUCGACGGUACCUGCAGAAGAAGCUCCGGCUAACUACGUGCCAGCAGCCGCGGUAAUACGUAGGGGGCGAGCGUUAUCCGGAUUCAUUGGGCGUAAAGCGCGCGUAGGCGGCCGCCUAAGCGGAACCUCUAACCCCGGGGCUCAACCUCGGGCCGGGUUCCGGACUGGGCGGCUCGAGUGCGGUAGAGGAGAGCGGAAUUCCCGGUGUAGCGGUGGAAUGCGCAGAUAUCGGGAAGAACACCGAUGGCGAAGGCAGCUCUCUGGGCCGUCACUGACGCUGAGGCGCGAAAGCUGGGGGAGCGAACAGGAUUAGAUACCCUGGUAGUCCCAGCCGUAAACGAUGGACGCUAGGUGU